GUGACAGAGUACUGGAAUCACUCCCUGCCUUCCCUGAGACAGGCCCAACAGGCAGAUGCAUAAUAUGGAGGAUUCUCUGUCAUCUCUCCACCUGACUGAACGCACUGACUCUAAGAAUAAGGGGCAAUGGUGACAAGUAACUGCCCAGCACACCAGAUGUGUCUCCUCAGUGAAUACCCCACCUUCCCAGGUGUCCUCACACAAUAGUUAUGUGGCCCUGCAUGUGAAACAGAAUAAUUAUGAGGAGGAUGAUGGUUCAUCUGGCUUGGAGACAUUACUGAGGUUAAGUCAGCCUAUGGCCUUCAUCAAAACUGUGUCAACGAAGAUGAAAAAAAAAAUGGGGGGUGGAGGUGUUACUGUGAUAGGAGACUCCCUUCUGAAGGGAGCAGAAGGCCCAAUUAAUGGACCCACUAAAUAGGGAAGGUAGCUGCCUUGCUGGGGCACAGUUUAGAGAUACAGAAAGAAAGCUUCCUACCUUGGUGCAGUCCUCAGAAUAUUACCCAUUAUGUUUAUUUCAGGCAGGCAUCAAUGAAGUUUGAAAAGAAGUCCAACAACAAUCAAGGGAGACUUCAGGGCCUUGCAACAACUGGUUGAGGGAUCCGGAGUACAAGUAAUGUUCUCUUCUAUCCCUCCAGUUGCAAGGAAUGGUGAGGGGAGAAACAGAAAGAGCCAGCAGAUCAAUAUCUGGUGUUGCAGGCAGGACUUUGAUAUUUUUUUUAAAUCAGGGGUCAUUUUACAUGACACCAGGCGUGCUGACAACAGACAAGGUACACCUGUCUCAAAGGAGGAAAAGGAUUUUUGUGUAGGAGUUAGCAGAGCUCAUUGAAAUAGCUUUAAACUAGUUUUGAAAGGGGAAGGUAUAAAACCAGACUUUAUGGAGUUAAGCCUGAAGGUGGUAUGUCAGUGUUUGUGGGACAGCGUGCUGGCAAGGUCCUUCAGUCUGCCAUACCAGUGGAGGUAGCAGAAGGAGAGCCAUCAAGCAGCAAAGGCACAAGGGAUAUUGAUGGGUUAGAAAUCAUGGAAGUGUCUGAGAACGGUCACAUAGCAAUUAGGGCUUCUCCCCCACCAAAAGGUGACAGGAUCUCUAACCCAGCUGAAGUGCAUCUAUGCCGAUGCACACAGCAAAGGCAACAAACAGGAGGAGCUGGAAGCCAUUGUGCCACAAGAAAAUAAUUUGUUAUUGUCAAAAAGGGAUUGCUCUACCUAAUUUACCCUAUAAAUUUAGCUAUUGCUUUAAAAUGUGCAUGGUGGAGCCCUAUUUAUCUCAUCAGAAAUACUCAAAUUCAGUGACAGUUUGGAUCAUUUGUUGGUAACCAAACUGGUCAUCAGCACUCUUCACUACCUCCAUAUGACUUCUGAUGAGCUGGAAUCAAUAUCAGCAAAGGAAAUCAUGAUAAUGAUUCAACAGAUUGCAUAGAUAGGACUAUUGCACUGAACUGUAGCUGACCUUCAGCUAAACCCAACUGGAAUACACAAUUUUCUUCUGUCACAAGAAAAUGUAGCUAAAAAAUUACUAGCUGACUGAAAACAUAGUUCAGUAUCAGGACUGUGAAUUUUAGCACUGUGACACAAAAGGGCCAUAGCUGAAAUUGUAACUGCAAGUAUAUUUGGGCAAAGUAAUAUAGACUAUUGAUAUAUUUCAGCAUUAUUUUUUCAGUUGGCAUGGUCAUGUCUUCUGAUUUUGCACAUGUGGCAGUACCAGAUGUAACCACAUUACUAUAUACAAUUAUGCUUCUGUUAUCUUCAAAAUUACAAUGACAUGUCAUUACGUCAUUUCUUUCAGAAAUCCAAUGUAGAUGUGCAUACAGAAUUGUUUAUGAUCCGUGUCAUUGUAUAGAUUUUAUGUGACAAAACACAGUCUGGUUCUACAUAGUUUUCUGCAGAAUAAUUACCAGUUGGCAUACCAGAACAAAUGGUGGGAGGCCAUCAAACAGCUCGUCCAAGCCUUCCAUCCAUCUGUCCACUUGCUGUCUGUGGAACAUGCAGUUUUUAUCUUUAAUCAUUAAAUUGUUUUCUGUAUAUCAGAAUUUCAGUUUUCCUAAGCAAUGCUCGUAUACAGUAUUUAGUGUUUAUUUAGUGUUCAUUUAGCAGUGGGGUAACCUUCUGUCUAACUUCAACUGCUAAAAUAAAAAUAAGAAAUACAAAUUAAAACAUGUAUUUGCCACAUUAUUUUCUCCUAAUUUCCACCUUCAGAGCACCAUCCAUUUCAAAAAACAAUUGUGGUAUCUAUUUGUAGGAUCUUUUUAUUUUUAUUAUUUAUUUAUUUAUUUAUUUUUUCUCAAGGGAAACAAUUUGGGUUAAACACUUUCUAGAGCUCUCUGUUGUUUGAAUUGAUAAUAAUGUAGCUGAAAAACAAUAAUUGAAUUGAUCUUUGCAGGUUAAAAAAAAUUCUAGAAAUUUAUUUCCUCCGUAACAGGUGACUUAAGAAUUAGUGCCUGACAGAAGAAAGACAUGUGGUAAUGGGACAUAUUAAAAAUAGAGCAACAUGUAUCACUGUCACUUUCUUGCUAAGUAUAUUUGGCAUUAAACACAUAAAGAUCCGUACUUCUAUUUACUCUUCUGCAAAUAAAGGAUGUUUAUAUCCAGUGGAUGAUGAAAAUGUUAUAAGUUACUUUGAAGUCAGGGUUAAUUUUGUUUUUGAAUUCAGUGGAUUAAGAUUCCAAUGCCUUGGACAUGACUGCCCUGGGACAUCCCAGCCCUGGGACAUAGAGAGUAUCACUGAAACACCUGGCAGUUGCAUUGGAGCACAUUGUCUCUGAAGCAAGUGUGACACCUCCUCUACAACCAGCCCACUUUCUUGUUAACUCAGUUUUACAGCAGUAUAUAUACCACACUUGCAGCUACACAAGUCGAGCUGCACCAGGCAAACCUCCCCAGCAGCCCUGGGGAGACUGUUGCCUCUGGCCACUGCCAUGGCACACAUAGGCUCUCUCUGAGCACCUGGAGUACUUAAGUUUACUUAAUCCUACUUGCAGGUGUACCUGAUCCUUCUGCAGUGACUGAUCCUGAUCCUGAAUUUUCCAGAUGCUGAGUUAAGAUAGUAGACUCAUGGCAUUGUUGGAAAUUAGGCUGGAUGAGGCCUUAAGAUAUCAUCCACUCUAUCCCUUGUUUCAAGAUAAAAAAGAGACAUGCAGCUAGGCUUUGCCUGUUUUGCCUGUAUGAAAGUACAGAUCCUCCCAGAUUCCAUGUGGCACUGCUGCAAGCUUCUGGGAGAUAGGUCCAGCUCUACCAUCAUGGGGAAUUGUUUUGUUCUGAUAGACCUAUACUGCCUGUUCAUUUUCAUCUUUCAUUAUGUUUGAUGAAUUGUUGCUGAUGUUUUAAUAUUCAGUGAAAUUAGAACUGAGUGUUUAAUUUGAGCUUUAUACUGAAGUUUAUAACAGCCACAAGUUACUCAUGACUCAGGCAUUCUUGAUCAAAUAAAUCAGUAAAACAAAAACUGGCUUGUCUUUCAUUCUGUGAGCAAGCUCUUCUGAGAUUUAAAGGUUCUUUGUCUUAUCUGACACUUCGACAAGGCGAAUCAUUUAGUGAAUUAAAGGAAGCAUCCAUUUCCCUUGCAGAUUACUUUUAAGUAAUGAAGUUAGUGUUUGGGCAAAACAAUCAGCUUUACUUAAUGGUGUUUUGAAAUCAAGUCUCUAAGAAGAAGCUGAGUGAUUUCUGCAUGACUACAUUCCAUGUUAUCAUCUGGUAUGAAAAAUGCAUUAUACUCUCACUUCCUCUCUAGGCAAACUCAAUUUCCAACACCUGUGAUCUGAACAAACUGUACACAGACUCUUAAGAAAAGAUUUAAACUGUGAAAAGCUUAUAGAUUUUUUUAGAACUGCAUUUUGGAGUCCAAUACAUCCAAGUUACAUUAAUUUAUACAUACAUAAAAGGAGUACAUAAAGCCAGUAAGCUGUAGGAAGUCUCUGUCCAUGUAAUCCAAGUAACAUGGUAAGGUAGA